CACGUGCAGUGAGGGCCUUUGUGUCUGCCUGGUUUCAAAUUCUGCUUCAAUUGUGCCAUUUUUUUUGUGUUUUACCAUGGCUAGGAGAUAAAUGAAGGGUGCUGACAUUCACGGUUUGAUGGAAGAAGAUGUUGUUAGUGAUUUUGAGUUGUCUGACAAUGAAAAUAUCUCUUCAAACAGCAGCGGGAGUGAAAUUUCUACAUCAACUCCGCCGAAACGAGACGCAGUUCACCUGAGCGCAUCAGUGAAACAAGUGACAGUGACCUUGGUGGCACAGUUGAAAUCAUUCACGGGGAGGUUGCUGAGGAGAGUAAUAUUCAGGCCCAACUCCAUUUUUGUUAUACAGAAACGCAAGGAUCAAAGUAUAUCCCAUCCGCACCUAUGACCCAAAAUCAAUAUUUUUAUCUGUUUUCCACCACAUCCCUGAACAUAAAUGUACCGGUGGUACAUAGUCCACUUAUGUUUUUUCACUUGUGCACAGUCAGUGAGAACGAGAACUGCAGUGUUUUACAAAUAUUGAUAUGAUGAAUAAACUAUUUGGUGUACAGUUUUCAAAUUUUAACCUCAUAUAUAAAAUGAAUGGAGCUAUCAGAAAACAACAACAGAUGGGACACAGUACUUCUACGAGAAGUUAAAGGAAACGAGUAUAUCCUGGUCGCUCGCUGAGUGCUCGCUGAGUGUCCCUGACGUCCCUGACUGUGUCUCUGGGUCGGCUGUGAUCACUGUGAUACCGAGGUUACGAACUGUGCACACAAGUACCACAAAUUCUUGCAUAGUAGCAGAAAUUCCAAGAAUUCAGCCACAGAGAGCUGAACAAACAUUUCCUGCUUUGACAGAAAGGAUGGUGAGUGUUGUGUGCACAGACAAGAAUUUUAUUGUCAUCAGUCAAUUCUCAUAUCUUAAGAAACUAAACUUUUUAUGCCAAGCUUGUGCUAGUUUUCAUAAUCAAUGUGGGGAGUUCAUUUGGUUCACAUUAUCACACUUUGCGUUACUAUGUGGCAGAGGGAUCAGUUCAAGGAGAGUGAUAUGGGUAUGUCAUGUGGCACACAUAUGAGAAAUGAGAAAUGCGUACAGAGAUUUUGACAGAAAGCCUGAGAGAAUGAGACAAUUGUGGAGAUGGAUUUCAAAGAUACAAUUAUGGGGGUUUUGGACUGGGUUUGUUUGUGUCAGGAUGCAAAGUUAUGAUGGGCAUGUGUGAACACUGAGUGCUUAGGUUCCAUAAAGAGCAGAUACGUAUUGACUGUACUUCCACAGGGACCACAGGUUUCUCAGGAAGGUCUCUGCAUUAUGAACUUAACACUUGCUAAGAUUAUGAAGUCUGUAGAGAAGAAAUC